CAUGAACGCUAGCGGCAGGCCUAAUACAUGCAAGUCGAGGGGUAGAGAGAGCUUGCUCUCUCGAGACCGGCGCACGGGUGCGUAACGCGUAUGCAACCUACCUUUAUCUGGGGGAUAGCCCGAAGAAAUUCGGAUUAACACCGCAUAAAAUCACAGAACGGCAUCGUUCAAUGAUCAAAUAUUCAUAGGAUAGAGAUGGGCAUGCGUGCCAUUAGUUAGUUGGCGGGGUAACGGCCCACCAAGACCGCGAUGGCUAGGGGAUCUGAGAGGAUGGCCCACCACACUGGUACUGAGACACGGACCAGACUCCUACGGGAGGCAGCAGUAAGGAAUAUUGGUCAAUGGAGGCAACUCUGAACCAGCCAUGCCGCGUGCAGGAAGACAGCCCUCUGGGUCGUAAACUGCUUUUAUUCGGGAAUAAACCUGCUUACGUGUAAGUAGCUGAAUGUACCGAAGGAAUAAGGAUCGGCUAACUCCGUGCCAGCCGCCGCGGUAAGAC
rnacentral:rRNA from 1 species